UUCAACACUCCACAGUGAUCACGUCACUCCUUCCAGAGGCCCCUGGGCUUGCUGAAUAAAGGGCAAGCCCUUAGCUUGAUGUGCAAGCCCUGCUGGGAGCUGGUCCCUGCCUUCAGCUCUGGCUGCAGAUCCCACCAAGCACUUGCAGUCUGACAGUCUUCUACACAAAUUCCUCUCAUGGCAUUAGGAUAGUAGAAGAUUCGAGGAAAGUGGCACCUGGAGGCCUAGCCGCAGCCUGGGCUGCAGUUUCCUGAGGCCUCAGGAGGACUCACUCCUGGUCUAGAAUCUGACCAUUAUCCCUGGAGCCCGAGCAGCCUGCACUGUGAGAUUACGUAGAGCGACCUGGCGCAGCCACAGCCUCAGGACUUGGUUCAAGAGUCAGCACCCAUUCAUUUAUUUAUAGUACGAAAUUGGACCAUCCUAUAUUCAGUCCUAGAAGAGCAGGGAAUCUGAAUCAUGCUUAAAGUUGAAGCCUCUUCUGGGAUAUUGCUAAGGAAAAGUCCACAAUCCAGGAUUGCUAAUUAAAAUGAAUUCUACUUAUUGUGCAUAAAUUAAAUUCUAAUGAGGUAAGAAACUACAGUAAAACAAUUAAAGAUUGAAAAUGUCUUCCCUGAAUAAAAACAAAACCACAUUAUAUUCUCACUUCUGUCCUCUUUAACUGCAGUUUGAUAAAAAGAAAGUAGCUCUGAGAACAGAGAGAUGGAAAAUCAAAACAAAA